rnacentral:rRNA from 1 species
AUUGAACGCUGGCGGCAUGCCUUACACAUGCAAGUCGAACGGUAGAGUAGCAAUACUCGAGAGUGGCGAACGGGUGAGUAAUAUAUCGGAACGUGCCCAGUCGUGGGGGAUAACGUAGAGAAAUUUACGCUAAUACCGCAUACGAUCUACGGAUGAAAGCGGGGGACUCGCAAGAGCCUCGCGCGAUUGGAGCGGCUGAUAUCAGAUUAGGUUGUUGGUGAGGUAAAAGCUCACCAAGCCGACGAUCUGUAGCUGGUUUGAGAGAACGACCAGCCACACUGGGACUGAGACACGGCCCAGACUCCUACGGGAGGCAGCAGUGGGGAAUUUUGGACAAUGGGCGAAAGCCUGAUCCAGCAAUGCCGCGUGUGGGAAGAAGGCCUUCGGGUUGUAAACCACUUUUGUACGGAACGAAACGCCUCGCUUUAAUACAGUGGGGUAAUGACGGUACCGUAAGAAUAAGCACCGGCUAACUACGUGCCAGCAGCCGCGGUAAUACGUAGGGUGCGAGCGUUAAUCGGAAUUACUGGGCGUAAAGCGUGCGCAGGCGGUUAUAUAAGACAGUUGUGAAAUCCCCGGGCUCAACCUGGGAAUUGCAUCUGUGACUGUAUAGCUAGAGUACGGUAGAGGGGGAUGGAUCCGCGUGUAGCAGUGAAAUGCGUAGAUAUGCGGAGGACACCGAUGG